rnacentral:rRNA from 1 species
UGANUAACGCGUGGAUAACCUGCCUUAUAGAGGGGGAUAACUAUUGGAAACGAUAGCUAAUACCGCAUAACAACUUAGUACUCAUGUACUAAGUUUAAAAGUAGCAAUUGCUACGCUGUGAGAUGGAUCCGCGUUGUAUUAGCUAGUUGGUAAGGUAACGGCUUACCAAGGCGAUGAUACAUAGCCGACCUGAGAGGGUGAUCGGCCACACUGGGACUGAGACACGGCCCAGACUCCUACGGGAGGCAGCAGUAGGGAAUCUUCGGCAAUGGACGGAAGUCUGACCGAGCAACGCCGCGUGAGUGAAGAAGGUUUUCGGAUCGUAAAACUCUGUUGUAAGAGAAGAACACUGAGGAGAGUGGAAAGCUCCUUAGUUGACGGUAACUUACUAGAAAGUCACGGCUAACUACGUGCCAGCAGCCGCGGUAAUACGUAGGUGGCAAGCGUUGUCCGGAUUUAUUGGGCGUAAAGCGAGCGCAGGCGGAUCAUUAAGUCUGAUGUAAAAGGCAAUGGCUUAACCAUUGUAAGCAUUGGAAACUGGUGACCUUGAGUGCAGUAGAGGAGAGUGGAAUUCCAUGUGUAGCGGUGAAAUGCGUAGAUAUAUGGAGGAACACCNGUGG